rnacentral:rRNA from 1 species
UACGAAGGGAGCUAGCGUUGUUCGGAAUCACUGGGCGUAAAGCGUGCGUAGGCGGCUUCUCAAGUCAGGGGUGAAAUCCCACAGCUUAACUGUGGAACUGCCUUUGAAACUGUGAAGCUAGAAUGUGAGAGGGGAUGGCGGAAUUCCUAAUGUAGAGGUGAAAUUCGUAGAUAUUAGGAGGAACACCCGUGGCGAAAGCGGCCAUCUGGAUCACAAUUGACGCUGAUGUACGAAAGCGUGGGUAGCAAACAGG